AGAGUUUGAUCAUGGCUCAGAACGUACGCUGGCGGCACGCCUAACACAUGCAAGUCGAACGAAGUAGCAAUACUUAGUGGCAGACGGGUGAGUAACAUGUGGGUAUCUGCCCUUUGGCCUGGAAUAACACGAGGAAACUUGUGCUAAUACCGGAUAAGUCUUUACGGAGAAAGCUUUAUGCACCAUUGGAUGAGCCUGCACUUGAUUAGUUUGUUGGUGGGGUAAUGGCCUACCAAGACUGUGAUCAAUAGCUGAUUUGAGAGGAUGAUCAGCCACAUUGGGACUGAGACACGGCCCAAACUCCUACGGGAGGCAGCAGUGGGGAAUCUUGCACAAUGGAGGAAACUCUGAUGCAGCGAUGCCGCGUGAGUGAAGAAGGCCCUUGGGUUGUAAAGCUCUUUCGUCGGGGAAGAAAAUGACUGUACCCGAAUAAGAAGGUCCGGCUAACUUCGUGCCAGCAGCCGCGGUAAUACGAAGGGACCUAGCGUAGUUCGGAUUUACUGGGCUUAAAGAGUUCGUAGGUGGUUGAAAAAGUUGGUGGUGAAAUCCCAGAGCUUAACUCUGGAACUGCCAUCAAAACUUUUCAGCUAGAGUAUGAUAGAGGAAAGCAGAAUUUCUAGUGUAGAGGUGAAAUUCGUAGAUAUUAGAAAGAAUACCAAUUGCGAAGGCAGCUUUCUGGAUCAUUACUGACACUGAGGAACGAAAGCAUGGGUAGCGAAGAGGAUUAGAUACCCUCGUAGUCCAUGCCGUAAACGAUGUGUGUUAGACGUUGGAAAUUUAUUUUCAGUGUCGCAGCGAAAGCGAUAAACACACCGCCUGGGGAGUACGACCGCAAGGUUAAAACUCAAAUGAAUUGACGGGGACCCGCACAAGUAGUGGAGCAUGUGGUUUAAUUCGAAGAUACGCGCAGAACCUUACCAACACUUGACAUGUUCGUCGCGACUCUAAGAGAUUAGAGUUUUCGGUUCGGCCGGACGAAACACAGGUGCUGCAUGGCUGUCGUCAGCUCGUGUCGUGAGAUGUUGGGUUAAGUCCCGCAACGAGCGCAACCCUCACUUUUAGUUGCCAUCAUUAAGUUGGGCACUCUGAAAGAACUGCCAGUGAUAAGCUGGAGGAAGGUGGGGAUGACGUCAAGUCCUCAUGGCCCUUACGUGUUGGGCUACACACGUGCUACAAUGGUAUCUACAACAGGAAGCAAGACUGCGAAGUUAAGCAAAUCCCUAAAAGAUACCUCAGUUCGGAUUGCACUCUGCAACUCGAGUGCAUGAAGCUGGAAUUACUAGUAAUCGUGGAUCAGCGUGCCACGGUGAAUGCGUUCCCGGGUCUUGUACACACCGCCCGUCACACCAUGGGAGUUGGUUCUACCUUAAGGCAAGGUUUCAAACCCUUGACCACGGUAUAGUCAGCGACUGGGGUGAAGUCGUAACAAGGUA
rnacentral:rRNA from 1 species